UACAGAGGUCUCAAGCGUUGUUCGGAUUCAUUGGGCGUAAAGGGUGCGUAGGCGGCGCGGUAAGUCGGGUGUGAAAUCUCGGAGCUUAACUCCGAAACUGCAUUCGAUACUGCGGUGCUUGAGGACUGGAGAGGAGACUGGAAUUCAUGGUGUAGCAGUGAAAUGUGUAGAGAUCGGGAGGAACACCGGUGGCGAAGGCGGGUCUCUGGGCAAUUCCUGACGCUGAGGCGCGAAAGCGUGGGGAGCAAACGGG
rnacentral:rRNA from 1 species